UUUCAGGCGCGUCACAAUGGCGCCCUCGCGGCCCCGCCCCCGGAGCCAGCCACUGAGGGCCUGCCCCGCCGCGCUAAGUCCUUCCCGCUCCAUCUUCCUGGGGAAGAAGGUGGGGUUUGGCGAGAAUAUGGAAGCGGAGCGGGGGCGCGGGCUCCCGGUGCUGGUGCUCCCGGGUGCUGGGGGUGCAGGGUGGAGCGGAGACCCGGCAAGCCCAGAACAGCGGGGCUGCCGGAAGCGCUGCGUGUGCCCGAAGGGCGGGGGGGGGGGCGCUACCGCGCGCCAGACCCCACCCUUCGGAGGCCCCGCCAGGGGAGCAAUGCCAGGGGUUUCCAUGGUGAUAAUAAACAAGCGCCAACUGCCUUAGCUACAGAUGCCUAGUCCCCAGUGUUCCAUCCUCCCCUGGGUGCUCAGAGGGACGACCAAGGUGCGGAAUGUGAAGAAGAGCGAGAGCGUGGAGACUCGGAGUCCGAUUAAUCUCUAUACCCAACGCGGGGCUUAAACUCAUGACCCCAAGAUCAAGAGCCGCAUGCCCUUCCAGCUGAGCCAGCCAGGUGCCCCCUAAUCUUUUCUUCUAAGCCCCUCUGGCUUCCUUGCUGUCUCCAGAUCACACCAGUCAUGCUUACAAUGAUCUGAUCGCAGAUGCCAACACGCUUCACUCCCCUGCCUCCUUCAGAGUUCUACCCAAAUGCGACUUCAUCACAUGGGCUUUCCUCUGAGUCCUACGUAAAAGGCUCCGCCACUCACCACACAUCAAUCUUCAUCCCUCUGCUUUAUUUUGCAUCACUACCACACGGCAUAUUUAUUGUUGAUUUUCUGUCCAUUAAAAUGGAAGCUCUAUGAGAGCAGAAAGUUUGUCUUGUUUAUUGCUUCAUCCCCAGAAGCUACAGUGUUUGGAUGUAAAUGAGUGAAUAGAUUGGGCCGGGAGCAGAGUAACUGUGUUCCAAUCCUUUCUCACCGUGGUAAUAUGGACACGUCUGUCAAUCAUUCUUGCAUUUCGGUUUUCCCAUUCACAAGUAAGGGAUGAUUACUCUUCUCUCAGCCUAGAUGAGAGGAUUAAUGGAAGAAGGGGCGACUAUUGUUUAUAAGCAUCUUCUACUGGGCAUGCAUUGCUGCAACUGAUUUGCAUAUAUUGUUUUUAAACCCCAGGUCAGCCUGAUAAAAUGGAUAUUAGUGUUCGCAUUUUACAGAUUAAGAAACUGAGACUCAAAGAGUUAGUGGCUUGUGAAAUCCAAAGUGAAGAAAGUAUGUGAAAUAAAUAUUAGAAGUAUGACACUGCAAUAAAAAAUGUGAAGUAUCUUGGUAAUUUUUAUAUUGGUUAUAUAUUGGAAUAAUAUUUUGAAUAUUAAAAAAAUAAAA